rnacentral:rRNA from 1 species
CGGCCUAUCAGCUUGUUGGUGGGGUAACGGCCCACCAAGGCUUGGACGGGUAGCUGGUCUGAGAGGACGAUCAGCCACACUGGGACUGAGGCACGGCCCAGACUCCUACGGGAGGCAGCAGUAAGGAAUAUUGCGCAAUGGGCGAAAGCCUGACGCAGCAACGCCGCGUGCGGGAUGAAGGCCCUCGGGUUGUAAACCGCUUUCAGUAGGGAAGAAAAUGACGGUACCUACAGAAGAAGCCCCGGCCAACUACGUGCCAGCAGCCGCGGUAACACGUAGGGGGCAAGCGUUGUCCGGAUUUAUUGGGCGUAAAGAGCUCGUAGGCGGUUUCGUAAGUCGGAUGUGAAAACUCCAGGCUCAACUUGGAGACGCCAUUCGAUACUGCGAUGACUUGAGUCCGGUAGGGGAGUGUGGAAUUCCUGGUGUAGCAGUGAAAUGCGUAGAGAUCAUGAGGAAGACCAGUGGCGAAGGCGGGUCUCUGGACAGUUCCUGACACUGAGGCACGAAGGCUAGGGGAGCGAACGGGAUUAGAUACCCCGGUAGUCCUAGCAGUAAACGGUGCACGUUUGGUGUGAGAGGAUUCGACCCCUUUCGCGCCGGAGCUAACGCGUUAAACGCCCCGCCUGGGGAGUACGG